GCUGCAGUGCCUUUGUUCCAGCUACUUAGACCUAACUGAUACAGUCAGUGUACUACUGUGAAGCUCUAGGUGUAAUAUUGUAAAUCACUUUCAACAAAGGCAUCUGCAAAAGAUUAAAUAAUAAUAAUAGCUUGGGGCAAUGUGAGCCCGUGUGGGCGGAGAGUUUGAAGUGGUUGCUUCAUGGAAACUCAGUAUCAGUCACACCCGCACGCGCGCUCACACGCACACACAAACUGGGCCGCUCACAGUGGGCUACAUCACUUCCUGUGGAUGGAAAAGUGGAGCUAUUACUUCCAUCCCCUCGAAGAAAGAACACGAGAGGAACGGGCGCCGAAACAGGCAGAGACGGGACACGGAGGGAACCGAGGGGCUCGAGGACACGCGAUUGGACGUUGGUUUGGGCCAACAGGUGGAAUAACGGUUAGAGUUACCAUCUUCAGAGUUGAAGAAUCGCGGUUUGAAUCCCUCUGCCUGAGCAAGGGCUGUUGCUUCUUCCCUAUCCUGCGGACGGCUCGGCCACUGGGUCGUGUCUCACCAUAGCGAGCUGAGUGGAGAGCCGUGUAUCACCGCCCUGGUCUACAGGCACCCCCCUCCCCUGCCCCAUCUGUGUCUCUGAAGAAAGCCAACGGUUCUUCUGGACUCUGGAAAGCGUUGUUCAGACACCAUAAAUCUCGCAGAGGAGAAGGCACUCUCGAAUGUAAAUGCGUCAGUAACUUUUUUUUUUUGGAAAGAUAUUUGUUUGUUUUUGUUAUUCCAUAUUUUCUGCACUCCUGAGCAGUUGGUGCGGGAGCUGCUGUGAGAUCAAGGGGUAAGCACUUUCCUGCACGGCACCCCGAGGCGGACAUGGCUGCAGUGUGGCAUCCAGCUGGGUGCUAGAUGGGACUUGCAUCGGUGAUGCCGCGUCCUACCAACUCGCAUUGUACCUCUUGAGCUGUGGCACCAACCAGCGGAGCACCAGAAUGCUCACAACAAUGAUCUGGAAAUAGAGGAAACAUCAGUUUGUCUUUCAUUUGUUUUUCAGUUCCCAUCAUAACAAUUUGUUUUAUUUAUUUAUAUAUAUAUUUUUUUAAACCUACGCUCAGCCAGCUUGCCUGAAGUGCCUCUCCCCCCCCAUAGUUCACUGUUUAUGAUCAAGUUAGUUGUAAUUUUAUGUAUUGACAGGGCAGGUUCCCAGUGCUCUGAAGUUGGAGACUGAAUUUAAUUACAAGGCAGCAAGACUCAGUUUCCUUUUUGCGCAGAGGCAGCAUAGUUUUUGGCUCAGCUGUGCAGUCGAACCCUCUCCAGCACUGUGCGCUUGACUUGGGUAUUGGCUGAUUAAUACAGCCAAUUACACGGUCCAGCAUAAAUCCACCUUCAAGUCAAAUGAAUAACCUGUGUGGAAAGAGUGUCUGACGCAAUUCAGUGGAGGGAAUGCUGCUGCCAGGAAGUGUUAAACACAAUUUUUUUUGGGUCCAACCUCAGAAGCAAAGAUAAGUUAUCUUAAAGAGAGUCUGUGAUCAGUCAGUCUUUCUAAAACUGUUAUUGUUUCUACC
rnacentral:lncRNA from 1 species